AUCCUUCUGUAUCCGUGCUGAGAUUUCGUCACACACCAGACCACAAGGGCUGAUGAGACUUCAAAGAUCGACAUGCU
rnacentral:pre_miRNA from 1 species